rnacentral:rRNA from 1 species
UACGUAGGGUGCGAGCGUUAAUCGGAAUUACUGGGCGUAAAGCGUGCGCAGGCGGCUUUGCAAGACAGAUGUGAAAUCCCCGGGCUCAACCUGGGAACUGCAUUUGUGACUGCAAGGCUAGAGUACGGCAGAGGGGGAUGGAAUUCCGCGUGUAGCAGUGAAAUGCGUAGAUAUGCGGAGGAACACCAAUGGCGAAGGCAAUCCCCUGGGCCUGUACUGACGCUCAUGCACGAAAGCGUGGGGAGCAAAUAGG